rnacentral:rRNA from 1 species
UACGUAGGUGGCAAGCGUUGUCCGGAUUUACUGGGCGUAAAGGGCGCGUAGGCGGCCUGUUAAGUCGAACGUGAAAUCCCCGGGCUCAACCCGGGAACUGCGUCCGAUACUGGCAGGCUUGAAUCCGGGAGAGGGAUGUGGAAUUCCAGGUGUAGCGGUGAAAUGCGUAGAUAUCUGGAGGAACACCGGUGGCGAAGGCGGCAUCCUGGACCGGUAUUGACGCUGAGGCGCGAAAGCCAGGGGAGCAAACGGG